GCGUUAUACUGGUAACAAUAACAAGUCGAGAAAUAAACGUCCACAUGAGGAUAAGACAAGUUAUUUUAUAUUUCUUUGCUUACAAUUGCAAUGGUCAAGUCUACAAACAUCAAAAUACAGUGUAAUAAGUGGGCCAAUGGGAAUGCUCAAUGUCUAUGCAUUGCAAGGACAAAUUAUACCUCUGAGUUGCGUUUUUGUAAAUACCUUUUCACUAGCUCGUAAAGGGAAGUGCCUGAUUUGAUAUAGCAAAUGACAUGAUAACAAUAUUUCAAGCGAACAUGUCAGGAAGGUCACCGGCCUAAAUUUUUCCCAAGGUGCCUCAGAAUAUACCUUAUGCGCAUUAUUGUAAUUUUGCCAAACAGCUUUUGCUCCAUUUAGUAUUAACUAUGCAUAUGCAUGCCCUUAUUAAAAGGCAACACUAGGUUUCACGUUGAAGAAAAAUCAUUCAGUUGUUGGCCGAUACUAACGUAACUGCCAGAUAUAAACUAAUCCAGUGAUGGGUAAAGGCGAGGGAGGUGGUAUUGGAUGCCUCUUUUGGGGUCUAAUAUGGCUUCUGAUCUUGAUAUGGAUCAGUUUCUUCGUCGCGUGUUUCUGUGCCGGGUGGUAUAUUCUACUGUCGCCGAUUUCCGUCUGCAUUGAGCCUCUAUCGGCUAUAACGGAUAUUCUUUUAGCUGGUCUUCAACUACCGAAGACGUGUGCUCAAAAUAUGAUGGCCGGGAAGUCGCUAUUCUAAAGAAGUCAAAAGUGGAUGUGUUGUCGUCAUGUAGAGCCACCAGCAUCCAUCCAUCAAGCGUUGUUCUGCCUCGACGACCUGUGCCUCUAUGGCGGUCACAGCACACGGCACCCCAGGUCGGAUCCACUAAUUUUGUAAUUUGGUGUAUGAAGAGUCAGAGUGCAAGUUUGGUGUAAAUAAGUUGUGCGAGUGUUGUUCAUUGUUAUAUUUUCGAGAAGCUGUGAUAAUGUCACACAUGCAGUCGGUUACUGAAGUAAUAUACAUGUAAAGAUGUGCCCAAAA